rnacentral:rRNA from 1 species
GAGUUUGAUCCUGGCUCAGAUUGAACGCUGGCGGCAGGCCUAACACAUGCAAGUCGAGCGGUAGAGAGAAGCUUGCUUCUCUUGAGAGCGGCGGACGGGUGAGUAAUGCCUAGGAAUCUGCCUGGUAGUGGGGGAUAACGUUCGGAAACGGACGCUAAUACCGCAUACGCCCUACGAGAGAAAGCAGGGGACCUUCGGGCCUUGCGCUAUCAGAUGAGCCUAGGUCGGAUUAGCUAGUUGGUGAGGUAAUGGCUCACCAAGGCGACGAUCCGUAACUGGUCUGAGAGGAUGAUCAGUCACACUGGAACUGAGACACGGUCCAGACUCCUACGGGAGGCAGCAGUGGGGAAUAUUGGACAAUGGGCGAAAGCCUGAUCCAGCCAUGCCGCGUGUGUGAAGAAGGUCUUCGGAUUGUAAAGCACUUUAAGUUGGGAGGAAGGGCAGUUACCUAAUACGUAAUUGUUUUGACGUACCGACAGA